AUUGAACGCUGGCGGUAUGCCUAACACAUGCAAGUCGAACGGCAGCACAGUAAGUUCCUGCUCGUACGGGUUGCGGGUGGCGGACGUAAUAGGUAGAAACCUGUAUCUACUUUUUCGUUAGGGAGAAGGUAGCCAGACUUACGCUAAUACCGCAUUCCAGCUGCAGGUGGAAGCCCGUGAUGUUCCGCCCUUUCGGGAUUGAAUGAGCCGAUGUCGGAUUAGCUAGUUGGCGGGGUAAAGGCCCACCAAGGCGACGAUCCGUAGCUGGUCUGAGAGGAUGAUCAGCCACACUGGAACUGAGACACGGUCCAGACUCCUACGGGAGGCAGCAGUGGGGAAUAUUGGACAAUGGGCGAAAGCCUGAUCCAGCAAUACCGCGUGGGUGAAGAAGGCCUUCGGGUUGUAAAGCCCUUUUGUUGGGAAAGAAAAGCAGCGGGUUAAUACAGCGCUGUGAUGACGGUACCCAAAGAAUAAGCACCGGCUAACUACGUG
rnacentral:rRNA from 1 species